rnacentral:rRNA from 1 species
GACAGAGGAUGCAAGCGUUAUCCGGAAUUAUUGGGCGUAAAGCGUCUGUAGGUGGCUUUUUAAGUCUGCCGUCAAAUCCCAGGGCUUAACCCUGGACAGGCGGUGGAAACUACCAAGCUGGAGUACGGUAGGGGAAGAGGGAAUUUCCGGUGGAGCGGUGAAAUGCGUGGAGAUCGGAAAGAACACCAACGGCGAAAGCACUCUGCUGGGCCGACACUGACACUGAGAGACGAAAGCUAGGGGAGCGAAUGGG